UCCCGGCUUUCCAACGGCCGGGGUACUAAAGAGGCACAUACCAUCAUUGCCGGAAGUGCGGUCGGGAUACCCCUCCAAUCCAAGGCAGACAAAGCCGGAUAAGCCGCAAGGCUUGUUCAAUCUUGAGCGGUCGCCGCAAACGGUCCCCGGGGUC
rfam:Martelella sp. AD-3, complete genome.